CCUACGGGAGGCAGCAGUGAGGAAUAUUGGUCAAUGGACGAGAGUCUGAACCAGCCAAGUAGCGUGAAGGAUGACUGCCCUAUGGGUUGUAAACUUCUUUUAUAUGGGAAUAAAACGUUCCACGUGUGGGUUUUUGUAUGUACCAUAUGAAUAAGGAUCGGCUAACUCCGUGCCAGCAGCCGCGGUAAUACGGAGGAUCCGAGCGUUAUCCGGAUUUAUUGGGUUUAAAGGGAGCGUAGGUGGAUUGUUAAGUCAGUUGUGAAAGUUUGGGGCUCAACCGUAAAAUUGCCGUUGAAACUGGCAGUCUGGAGUACAGUAGAGGUGGGCGGAAUGCGUGGUGUAGCGGUGAAAUGCUUAGAUAUUACGAAGAACUCCGAUUGCGAAGGCAGCUUACUGGAGUGCAACUGACACUGAGGCGCGAAAGUGUGGGUAUCAAACAGGAUUAGAUACCCGAGUAGUC
rnacentral:rRNA from 1 species